rnacentral:rRNA from 1 species
AAUAGAUACCCCGGUAGUCCACGCCGUAAACGAUGAGUGCUAAGUGUUAGAGGGUUUCCGCCCUUUAGUGCUGCAGCUAACGCAUUAAGCACUCCGCCUGGGGAGUACGGCCGCAAGGCUGAAACUCAAAGGAAUUGACGGGGGCCCGCACAAGCGGUGGAGCAUGUGGUUUAAUUCGAAGCAACGCGAAGAACCUUACCAGGUCUUGACAUCCUCUGACAACCCUAGAGAUAGGGCUUUCCCCUUCGGGGGACAGAGUGACAGGUGGUGCAUGGUUGUCGUCAGCUCGUGUCGUGAGAUGUUGGGUUAAGUCCCGCAACGAGCGCAACCCUUGAUCUUAGUUGCCAGCAUUCAGUUGGGCACUCUAAGGUGACUGCCGGUGACAAACCGGAGGAAGGUGGGGAUGACGUCAAAUCAUCAUGCCCCUUAUGACCUGGGCUACACACGUGCUACAAUGGAUGGUACAAAGGGCUGCAAACCUGCGAAGGUAAGCGAAUCCCAUAAAGCCAUUCUCAGUUCGGAUUGCAGG